rnacentral:tRNA from 1 species
ACCGCUGAGCCCGUGGGGGCGGCCCGGUCUCCAAAACCGGCGCCUGCGAAUUCGACUUUCGCCAGCGGUGCCA